UCGAUGUCUCUAGGAAGAUGUAAAAUCUUAUCUAUUUAUUAACCUUUGUUUGUGUAACGAUAGUAGUGAUAGAUUCGUACGACGUUUUAAAUCGUGAUUUGUAACGAUGUUAAUUUCCAGAGGUGUAAAUGUUUUAAAACACAUUUCGAAACAUGUUAAGAGAAAAAAUACUCUAAUUAAUAAUCAACCUGUUCGGUCAUCACAUGCUGAAUGGGGUUAUAGAGAAGAUACAACAAAUGAAAAAAGCAAAAAAUAUUAUUUAAGGGCAGCCGAAAUUUGUGGUGGAAUUGCUUGGUGGUGGUUUCUAUAUAGAAUGUGGCAUGAUCAUUUACAUCUUGUUGGACAUUUUGAUUAUCCGGAUCCAUCAAAAUGGACAGAUGAAGAAUUAGGAAUACCACCUGAUGAUUAUGAUUAAUUGAACAUAUACUUCUGUAGAUAAUUAAUAUGUUCCUUAAUGUUGGCAACAAAUUUUCUGAGUAACAAGAAUUAAACGGAUCUCCGACCUUUUUAUCCAGCGCUAAUUGUUUCGAAUAUUUUACAAAUUCGUCAUAAAUCUUAGAGUGUACGAACGUACGCGAUCCCGCGCAACAACUCUGGCCAUGAUUUGAAAACAAAGCGCUGUGGGCUAUCUCAGCAGCUUUUUUAACUAAAAUAAUUCAAUCAACUUAUUUUAUUAAUGUUUUUCAUUGAUACAAAUUUAAUAAAUAAAAAUAAACUGUGUAAUAUUUAUUUAUAUCUAUACUUGCCAUCAAAGUCAUCGAAAAUAACAAGUGGACUUUUGCCACCUAAUUCAAGACUAACUCGUUUUAGAUUACUUUUGGCAGCUGCUUCUGAAAUUAAAUGUCCAACCUAAAAAAAAAAAAAACAGACGAAACAAUAUUUUGAUUGUAAAAUUAAAGAAUAUUAUUAAAAAAGAUAAUAAUUACUUCAGUCGAUCCUGUGAAAGCAACUUUAUUAAUAUCCGGAUGUUUAGCUAUAGCAGCUCCUGCUGUUGGUCCAUAUCCUGUAAUAACAUUGAUGACACCAGCUGGAAAUCCUGCCUCUUUCGUUAAAGCUGCUGCAUACAAAGCGCUCAAAGGGGUUUGUUCUGCUGGUUUUAAAAUAACAGUACAACCCGUAGCCAAAGCUGGAGCCCAUUUCCAUGAUAACAUCAUGAACGGAUAAUUCCAUGGAAUAAUAUGACCAACGACUCCUACCGGUUCUUUACGUGUAAAUACAAAACUAGAGCCAUCUGAAAAAUAAUCAUAAUAAAAUAUAAUUUUGUUCUAACAUAUGUACAAAAA
rnacentral:misc_RNA from 1 species